rnacentral:tRNA from 1 species
GCCCGGGUGGCGGAAUUGGUAGACGCGCAUGGUUCAGGUCCAUGUUCCAGCAAUGGAGUGGGGGUUCGACUCCCCCCCCGGGCACCA